GCCUGGGUGGCUCAAUCCGUUGAGCGUCCGACUUCGACUCAGGUCAUGGUCUUGCGGUCCGUGAGUUCAAGCCCCACGUCAGGCU
rnacentral:tRNA from 1 species